UGAAAUGGAAUGAAUCUUUCAAAUUAAAUUUAAACUUAUAUAUUUUAAAUCAUAAAACUAUGACAUUAUUGUCUAUAGCUUACACUAGUUUGUUAGCUAUUAUUAUCCGUAGUUGGAAUUAGUAAUUUAUAGUAGAACUCAGAUUCACGAGAUCUCACAAACAAACUGGUCCACUACACAUUACUCUGUAUCAAUAAGACCAAAUUCUAAUAACUACAUAAAACAGUGUAGUGCUUUACUACAACUGGAAGAAGAAAAGAAAAGCUAAGAGAACACAAUGCUGCUACUCAUAAUAAUCUCUUCUAUCUUUCUCAUCCUUUUUAUGAUAAUCAAAUGGUAUUCCAAUUCUACAAAAACCAAAAACUCACCUCCUUCUCCUCCAAAAUUCCCUAUAAUAGGAAAUUUACAUCAACUUGGCCUAUUCCCUCACCGCACACUUCAAUCUCUGGCUAAACAAUAUGGCCCUUUCAUGCAAAUCCAUCUUGGGAGUGUACCAGUUCUUGUAGUCUCAUCACCUGAAGCAGCAUGUGAGAUUAUGAAAACUCAUGACCGCGUCUUUGCAAACAGACCCCAAACUAAACUUUAUGACAUACUUUUAUAUGAUUGCAAAGAUGUUUCCACAGCUGCAUAUGGAGAGUAUUGGAGACAGAUAAGGAGUAUUUCUGUUUUACAUCUUCUCAGUGCUAAAAGGGUUCAAUCUCUUCGCGCUGUGAGAGAGGAAGAAGUUGGUUUUAUGGUGGAGAAAAUAAAGCAGUGCUGUUCUGGUUCGGUGCCGGUGAAUAUAAGUGAAUUAGUCUCCACAACUAUUAACGAUAUAGUUUGUAGGGUUGCUUUGGGGAGAAAGUAUAGCGGUGAAAGUGGGAAGGGGUUUAAGAAGUUGUUGAUGGAGUUUACAGAGUUACUAGGUACUAUUAUUGUUGGUGACUAUGUUCCUUGGCUUGAUUGGUUGACCCAUGUUUCUGGAUUUUAUGCAAGAGCAAAAAGAGUGGCUAAAGAGUUUGAUGAUCUUUUGGAGGAUGUUGUUGAAGAUCAUAUCAGGAAGCAGAAAGAAGACAGUGAUUUUUCAAGUGCUGAAGAUCAUCGUGACUUUGUUGAUGUUUUGCUUUGGAUUCAAAGGACAGAAUCACUUGGCUUUCCAAUUGACAGAACUGUCAUAAAAGCUCUGUUGUUGGACAUGUUUUCUGGUGGCACAGACACAAUAUCCACGUUGCUAGAGUGGACAAUGACAGAACUCUUAAAACAUCCAAAUAUCAUGAAGAAAUUACAAGAAGAAGCAAGGGCAGUCGCUAAUGGAAGAACACACAUAACAGAAGAUGAUUUGCGUAGCAUGAAAUACUUACCAGCAGUGAUUAAAGAAACACUGCGAGUACAUCCACCAAUCCCAUUACUAGUCCCUCGAGAAAACAGACAAGAUAUCAAAGUAACUGGUUACCACAUCAAAGGUGGGACACGAGUAAUCAUAAAUGCUUGGGCCAUUGCAAGAGAUCCAACAUAUUGGGAUCAACCUGAAGAUUUCAAGCCAGAGAGAUUCCUGAGUAGUGAAAUAGAUGUGAAGGGAAAUGAUUUCCGAUUGAUUCCAUUUGGAGCAGGGAGAAGGGGCUGUCCAGGGAUAGUUUAUGCUAUGGCUGCCGGUGAAAUUGUGUUGGCCAACCUUGUGCAUAAAUUUAAUUGGGAAUUACAUGGUGAUGCUGCAGGAUUGGAAAACUUGGACAUGUCUGAAACAUUUGGUUUAACCAUGCAUAGAAAGACUCCUCUUCUAGCAACUGCAACCUAUGAAUGAGGAAUAUCCGCAGGUAUCCGAAGAUGAAACCUCAAAAAUAACCGCAGAUAAUACCGCAGGAAUACGGCAGCUCCGAUACAUGUUCGACUUUGGAACACAGAUACGUUUGAAUGUCUUAAUCGGACGUUGUACAGUUGGUUAGAGGGAGAAAUUGGAGAGGUUGAACGGAUUAGAAGAAUACAAUGGCUUGUGUCCACGUUCAACCAACACGGAGAAGUGCGCGAAUGGCUGGAUAUUAAGAUCGACAAAGACGCUCGUAGGAUGAUGCAUUACAUGUUCAAAAUUGUUUUGAUGGUUGUAAUCGUAUAGUUUUUGUAUUCUAGUUGUUUUAAUUGUUUGUGUUAUUUUUUAUGAACAACUGUCUUUUCGUCACAGACGUCUACUAUGAAGUAAAUUUAGUUUUCCAUA